CCGACGGUGAGGGACGAAAGCUGGGGGCACGAACCGGAUUAGAUACCCGGGUAGUCCCAGCCGUAAACGAUGCUCGCUAGGUGUCAGGCAUGGCGCGACCGUGUCUGGUGCCGCAGGGAAGCCGUGAAGCGAGCCACCUGGGAAGUACGGCCGCAAGGCUGAAACUUAAAGGAAUUGGCGGGGGAGCACAACAACGGGUGGAGCCUGCGGUUUAAUUGGACUCAACGCCGGACAACUCACCGGGGGCGACAGCAAUAUGUAGGCCAAGCUGAAGACUUUGCCUGAAUCGCUGAGAGGAGGUGCAUGGCCGUCGCCAGUUCGUACUGUGAAGCAUCCUGUUAAGUC
rnacentral:rRNA from 1 species